UACUGUAUAUUAAAGUUUUAAAUUGAUAGGUCUAUUCGUUAAUGGGAAGUAGGGAGUUUACUACCACCUGUCCCUUAACAUCUGUUCUCUGCCACCUGCCAUUUUUAUAAGAAGCUAGUAGUGUAUUUGAAAAGCCGAUUCUUUUCAAGCCACGCUAUAAUGUUUUGUUUUCUUUCUUCCAGGAAUGAAUUUACUUUUUUAAUUUGCCCGCUAUGUAUCGAGAUAAAACCAAGCUGUCAUCUUUGCGAACAUCUCGGCUGCAGACACAAGCUAAUAUCUCCCGAUUACCGAAUACUUCAUUUGUCGGACAGAAGGUCGAGUAUCUUUUUUAUCUUGACAGUUUUCACAUGUUAUUCGUCUAUAUCCGCUUUAAUUAAAACGAAUUUAGUAGUUUUAAUAAAAAUAAACUUUAUCCAAAGCUCUUUUAUUUAAAAAUAGUUUAUUAAUUCUUUUUUCACUAGUAUAGUAUAGGCCCU
rnacentral:lncRNA from 1 species